rnacentral:piRNA from 1 species
UGCUAGGAUAAGCAGCCCGAUUUCUGGAC